GCUCAGGACGAACGCUGGCGGCGUGCUUAACACAUGCAAGUCGAACGGAAAGGCCUUUUCGGAGGUACUCGAGUGGCGAACGGGUGAGUAACACGUGGGUGAUCUGCCCUGCACUCUGGGAUAAGCCUGGGAAACUGGGUCUAAUACCGGAUAGGACUGCACUUUAGUGUGUGUGGUGGAAAGUUUUUUCGGUGUAGGAUGAGCCCGCGGCCUAUCAGCUUGUUGGUGGGGUAAUGGCCUACCAAGGCGGCGACGGGUAGCCGGACUGAGAGGUUGGUCGGCCACAUUGGGACUGAGAUACGGCCCAGACUCCUACGGGAGGCAGCAGUGGGGAAUAUUGCACAAUGGGCGCAAGCCUGAUGCAGCGACGCCGCGUGGGGGAUGACGGCCUUCGGGUUGUAAACUCCUUUCGCCAGGGACGAAGCGUUUUGUGACGGUACCUGGAGAAGAAGCACCGGCUAACUACGUGCCAGCAGCCGCGGUAAU
rnacentral:rRNA from 1 species